UUGUGACGACUGCCGGAUUCCCAGGGUGUGCAGUGAUCCCCUUCUCCCCGCCCUGGGAAAGCUGUGACCAGAAUCCCCGGGAUGUGUGCGCCCGCGUCAGGGACCGCUCCACCUGGAGCAGAGUUGUCAACUCUGAUGUUGAACAAGGAGGAGCCAGCCAAAGUCCAGGUUGUUCCGGAGCAAGAAAGAGUCUGGAACGAAGGGGAAUCCGGGGCUGUUUGCACCCCAGACCCCCAAAGCACAACAGCGUAAAGCGGACGGCUCAGCACACACCGCUCCCUUCUUUAACCUCCUAAUCAAGGUCACCAAG
rnacentral:lncRNA from 1 species